rnacentral:rRNA from 1 species
AUGAACGCUGGCGGCGUGCCUAAUACAUGCAAGUCGAGCGAACAGACGAGGAGCUUGCUCCUCUGACGUUAGCGGCGGACGGGUGAGAAACACGUGGAUAACCUACCUAUAAGACUGGGAUAACUUCGGGAAACCGGAGCUAAUACCGGAUAAUAUAUUGAACCGCAUGGUUCAAUAGUGAAAGACGGUUUUGCUGUCACUUAUAGAUGGAUCCGCGCCGCAUUAGCUAGUUGGUAAGGUAACGGCUUACCAAGGCAACGAUGCGUAGCCGACCUGAGAGGGUGAUCGGCCACACUGGAACUGAGACACGGUCCAGACUCCUACGGGAGGCAGCAGUAGGGAAUCUUCCGCAAUGGGCGAAAGCCUGACGGAGCAACGCCGCGUGAGUGAUGAAGGUCUUCGGAUCGUAAAACUCUGUUAUUAGGGAAGAACAAAUGUGUAAGUAACUAUGCACGUCUUGACGGUACCUAAUCAGAAAGCCACGGCUAACUACGUG